AGAUAACAAUGAUACCAGAAUAAAUGAAUCAUGCUUUGGAGAAAGUACUCAUAUACUGAAAAUGAAAUUUUUUACAAAAUAUACUAAUUUGAACACAGAAAGCAAUUGGAUUAAAAGUGAACCUUUGUAUCUUUUCAUUGCAAUAAAUACAGGAAUAUUUAUUAUAAAUGUUCAAAAUGAAAACAUUUCCUAUUACAGUUUUAGAGAUUUUAAAUUGAAUGAUCAAGAACUUAAAUUUCCCACAAUUAUAAGAUCAACUAAUAUUUUUUAUUCAGAUGAAAC